GUUCACAUUGUUUUCUUGCUUAUUUCAUACCCAAACCGUCCAGCCAUUAACCUUUGGGUCUAAUUGCUCUUUAAAUCCAUCUUUUUAAAUACUUAAGCUAUUUACUCACAAUUUAACAAAUUUUGCGCUAUUUUCAAUUUAGUCCUUUUUAAUUUAUUAGCCAUCCAAACGUUAAAAUUUUCUAACGAAACUUUAAUACUAACUCAAUGACACUCCAUAAAUAUUUAUAAA
rnacentral:lncRNA from 1 species